rnacentral:rRNA from 1 species
GAUGAACGCUGGCGGCGUGCCUAAUACAUGCAAGUCGAGCGAACAGACGAGGAUCUUGCUCCUCUGACGUUAGCGGCGGACGGGUGAGUAACACGUGGAUAACCUACCUAUAAGACUGGGAUAACUUCGGGAAACCGGAUCUAAUACCGGAUAAUAUAUUGAACCGCAUGGUUCAAUAGUGAAAGACGUUUUUGCUGUCCCUUAUAGAUGUAUCCACGCUGCAGUAGUUAGUUCGUAAGGUAACGGCUUACCAAGGCUAUGAUGCGUAGCUGACCUGAGAGGGUGAUCAGUCACACUGGAACUGAGACACGAGCCAAGCUCCGACGGGAGGCAGCAGUGGGGAAUAUUGGAGAAUGAGCGAAAGCCUGAUCCAGCCAUGCAGAGGAUGUAAAGAAGGUCUUCGGAUUGUAAAACACUUUAAGUUGGCAGGAAGAGAAGUAAGUUAAAACCUAGCUAUUGUGACGUUACCAACAGAAUAAGCACCGGCUAACUUCGUG